CAGAGGUGCAGCUGUUAACCUGAAGUUGGAAGACGUGCACAUCGAUGGAACCACUAAAACUUCUUUCAACAGGUUGAUCUACAAACUGUGAGUGCUUUUUUGUUAUGGCAACUGUCCCAUCUGUCCUUUAUUUUCCAUUUCCUCUUUCCAUCUCUUGAAAUUGGUCUCCACAUGUAGGAUUGUAACGGUACACAAAGCUUCAUAGAAUACCAGUUUUGAGGUUUGAUUCAAAGUCCUUCAAUACCAGCUCAGAAUUGACCAUUAAACCAGCAGCUGAAGAAUUCCAGGUUUUCUGACCAACUGUACCGUUCCAUCCUGCUGUGGUCAGUGUGCAAAUUCAUAGGAACUGUAGUGUAGCUGUGGGCAUCUUUACAUACAGACUGUGCAGUGUGGUCAAGCUGCCUUGUUGUGGCUCAGCAGUUGCAACGAGGCAGCUUCACCUGACAAUUGAACUCUCUCAUACUGAGCUGUCAUCUCCUGCAUGUCCAGCACCUCUUUAUAUCUGCACCUGUCUGUCAAGCAUGAUCACUACAUAUGCCACGCCUCUGUGGCUGCACUACCUGUGGUAUUCCUUGUUCUUCCCUCAUUCACCAAGCUGAUGCCAGAAGAAGACGGAGCUGCAGCAGGAACUUCCAGAGACGCUGACUGGAAAUGGAGUCUUCAGAGUCUAUGAAAGUUCUCAGAUGCGCAGCAAUCACCAGACCACUGCACAUGGAUUGAGAUGCCAUCUGACUGAGGAGCUGAAAAUCAGACGACAGAGGUGCAGCUGUUAACCUGAAGUUGGAGGACGUGCACGUCGAUGGAACCAACCAAACUUUCUUUUCAACAGGUAGAUCUACGAAUCGUGAGAGCUGUAUUUUUUUUGUUUAUGGCCACUGUGCCAUCUAUCCUCUAUUUUCCAUUUCCUCUUUCCAUCUUAAAGUUGGCCUUCAUGUAGGACUGUAACGGUACACAAAGCUUCAUAGAAUACCUCAGUUUUGAGGUUUGAUUCAAAGUCCUUUAGUACAGCUCAGAAUUGACCAUUAAACUAUCAGCUGAAGAGUUCCAGGUUUUCUGACCAUGUGUACCGUUCCAUCCUGAUGUGGUCAGCGUGCUGUUGUAACUUUUUGUUUCCAGGUUGAUCAUCCUUCUGUUCGUCUCCCCGUAGUUUAGCCUUUAGUGCGUCGUUUAGAUGAUCCCUCAACAGUAAGUCUCACUUUCCAUACUUAUUUUGCUGGUUUGUCUCUCCUCGGCCGCCGUGCCGACCUGUCCUGUCUUUCCAACAUGGCCGCCGUGCCGUGUUUUUCGCAUCCUGGCCGCCGUGCCGCUUCUUCAGCCUGUCUCUAUCCAUUUCUCACCAUGCGUCGUCCAGCAUGGCCGUCGAUCCGUAGUUUGAAACCAUGCUGGAGAAGACAUUUUCUCUGGAUCUAUGGAUAGUAGGUGGUAAGUUUCUUUAAAUGUUGGUUCUGGUGUUGGGCUCAGUCUUGAUCUCUCAUUCUCUCUCUUAGUAUGUCUAUAAUGGCCGGUUUGCUAAACUUACUGUGUAAUAGAGCUGUGAAGAUUAUUGCGUUCGUUUAGCAGUAUAUUCUCGUGUUGUACAAAUGCCUUCAUGUGUCUGCUGUAUCGGUCUGUAUUUAAAGAUGGUCAUCGCCUCCGACAGCCAAAUUCAUAGACUGUAGUGUAGCUGUGGGCAUCUUUACAUACAGACUGUGCAGUGUGGUCAAGCUGCCUUGUUGUGGCUCAGCAGUUGCAACGAGGCAGCUUCACCUGACAAGUGAUCUCUGUCAUACUGAACUGUCAUCUCCUGCAUGUCCAGCACCUCUUUAUAUCUGUACCUGUCUGUCAAGCAUGAUCACUCCAUCUGCCACGCCUCUGUGGCUGCACUACCUGUGGUAUUCCUUGUUCUUCCCUCAUUCACCAAGCUGAUGCCAGAAGAUGGAGCUGCAGCAGGAACUUCCAGAGACGAUGACUGGAAAUGGCGUCUUCAGAGUCUA